CUCUGAGCAUCGUCUUUGAUGUAACCACUGUUGAGGCAACACCAACUGUCAUUUCGGGCAUUUGCACAGUGCCUCUGGGGUUCACAGAGACAUGUUGGUGAGACUGAGAAAGCUACUUGGGAGAGAGAAUGGACAGCCCAGAGAAGAGAGAGCGGCAGAAGGAAGCUGGCCAUCUGUCUUAGGGGACAGCUGGGGAGUCACCAUCCCAACUCUCCAACUGCACUGAGCAGGAGCAGGAGAUGAAAAAAAAUAGAGAAACUCACCAUUCACUUACAUGAUAUGUCAUGUGAGAGAAAUGAGCUGCGUGGAAUCCUGGUCAAUCCUUACACCAACAAGGAUUUGAACAACAGGCUGAAUUUUGAGCUUGAGAUGCUUGAAACAGGACACAAGAAGGUGAUGUUGGACCUCCAGAAAUUGCCCAUGGAGAUUAGUGAUGCCUUGGACAAGUACAAGGGGCUGAUUGAGGAGACUGAAUGCUUUAGUUACCUCCAAGGCCGGGUCCUAUGAGAGUGUACUCAGCUGAAGAAGAAUGUACAUGUAUUGAGACUCAAGAACAGACUGCUGCAGAAGGAGCAGAUUGAACUGCAAGAGACCUGUGAGGAGCUUAAGAAGCUCUUGAAGGAUGCCCAUGAGAGAUCUGCGACCCCUGUUCUGAGCAGCAGCAGGUAGGCUG